UGGGGAAUUUUGGACAAUGGGGGCAACCCUGAUCCAGCCAUGCCGCGUGCGGGAAGAAGGCCUUCGGGUUGUAAACCGCUUUUGUUCGGGAAGAAAUCCUCUGGGCUAAUACCCCGGGGGGAUGACGGUACCGGAAGAAUAAGCACCGGCUAACUACGUGCCAGCAGCCGCGGUAAUACGUAGGGUGCAGCGUUAAUCGGAAUUACUGGGGCGUAAAGCGUGCGCAGGCGGUUGUGCAAGACAGAUGUGAAAUCCCCGGGCUUAACCUGGGAACUGCAUUUGUGACUGCACGGCUAGAGUGCGGCAGAGGGGAGUGGAAUUCCGCGUGUAGCAGUGAAAUGCGUAGAUAUGCGGAGGAACACCGAUGGCGAAGGCAGCUCUCUGGGCCUGCACUGACGCUCAUGCACGAAAAGCGUGGGGAGCAAACAGGAUUAGAUACCCUGGUAGUCCACGCCCUAAAACCGAUGUCAACUGGUUG
rnacentral:rRNA from 1 species